rnacentral:rRNA from 1 species
AGCGCCCGCAAGGGGAGCGGCAGACGGGUGAGUAACGCGUGGGAAUCAACCCAUCUCUACGGAACAACUCCGGGAAACUGGAGCUAAUACCGUAUACGUCCUUCGGGAGAAAGAUUAUCGGAGAGGGAUGAGCCCGCGUUGGAUUAGCUAGUUGGUGGGGUAAUGGCCUACCAAGGCGACGAUCCAUAGCUGGUCUGAGAGGAUGAUCAGCCACACUGGGACUGAGACACGGACCAGACUCCUACGGGAGGCAGCAGUGGGGACUAUUGGACAAUGGGCGAAAGCCUGAUCCAGACAUGCCGCGUGAGUGAUGAAGGCCCUAGGGUUGUAAAGCUCUUUCAACGGUGAAGAUAAUGACGGUAACCGUAGAAGAAGCCCCGGCUAACUUCGUGCCAGAAGCCGCGGUAAUACGAAGGGGGCUAGCGUUGUUCGGAAUUACUGGGCGUAAAGAGCACGUAGGCGGAUACUUAAGUCAGGCGUGAAAUCCCGGGGCUCAACCCCGGAACUGGCUUUGAUACUGGGUAUCUGGAGUCCGGAAGAGGUGAGUGGAAUUCCGAGUG